GGUUUUAAGGGUUAUUUGUUAAAUGUAUGGUUUAUAGCUUAGAAAGGCAUUUAAUACUCUAAGACUUGAGUAUAAUAGGGGAUAACAGAAUUUUAUACAUAGGGGUAAAAUCCUAUAAUUUAUAAAAGAAUGUCAGCGGCGAAGGCGGUUAUCUGGAUUAUUUACUGACAUUGAGGAACGAAAGCUUAGGGAGCAAACAGGAUUAGAUACCCUGGUAGUCUAAGCUGUCAAAUAUGGAUAUUAAUGUUUGGAUUUUAAUUUUCUGACAUACAGUUAACGCGUUAAAUAUCCCGCCUGAGAAGUACGGUCGCAAGACUGGAACUCAAAGGAAUUGACGGGGGUCGAAACAAGUGGUGGAGCAUGUGUUUUAAUUCGAUAAUACACGCAAAAUCUUACCAACUUUUGAAUAACAGUUUUGCUAUAGCGUUAUAGCUAUUGCUUUUUUUCCUUUUUUUAUUAAAAGUUUUGAAAUAACUGUUACAGGUACUGCAUGGCUGUCGUCAGUUCGUGCUGUGAAGUGUUUGGUUUAGUCCUUUAACGAACGCAACUCUCAUUUUAUAUUGGUCUAUUUCUUUUUUAACAUUGGAAUACCACUUAUAAAUUACUACUAAAACUAAUUUAGGGGAAGGUGAGAAUGACGUCAAGUCUUUAUGGUCCUUAUAGGUUGGGCUACACAUGUGCUACAAUGGUAAUUACAAAAAGUUAUACAAUAAAGUAAUUUGGAGUAAAUCUUUAAAAAUUACCGUGUUCGGAUUAAAGACUGCAAUUUGUCUUUAUGAAGUUGGAAUCACUAGUAAUCGUAGAUCAGCAAGCUACGGUGAAUUUGUACCUUGACCUUGCACACACCGCCCGUCACAUGCCGGGAGUGAGUUUUGUUUGAAAUUUUUUUA
rnacentral:rRNA from 1 species